GUUGCUAAGGACGCCUCCGUGCAAAACGUAAACAUCUGACAUGAAUUAAGUAAAUAUUUCAAAAGAAAAAUAAAGAAAACAUGUAUAAAUGUACAACAAAAACAUAAUAAAUGGCAAACACAAGAAAAUAUUGAGUUUUGUGGCAGAUAGAAGCAGCCUCAAAGGCCGCUUUUACUUCGUCACUCGUCAAUAACCUUAUCUCACCCCCUGCGUCACAACUUGCUCUGCUGAGAUUACCGCACCAUAACCACGUCAUCUGCCCCAAUGAGCAAAUCUACGGGCCGGAGAACCAGCGCAGAAAAGGAGAAAGGGUUAAUCUAGCUAACAACUGCUUCUAAUAUACCGAAAAAAUAGCAUGGGUACUGCAUAGGAUACUUCUUUUGCUUCACAUUUGCGAAGGUUUUAGUUCCCGGUCGUACCAAUUUACUGCGUAAACGGCUUGAUUAUGUGGAGGUGUCUGGAAAAUUUCUAGGUCCAGUGUUGUUGUAUGACACGAGGGCUCUGUGGGCAGACUGAGCCUCUUAGCUGCCUUAUACUACACCACAGAAACUAGUUCCUAAGUCAGUAAUAUCCAAAACGCGCAUGGAUUAUAACGAUUUUGGACAAAAAAACGGUCUUUUAAGAGUUUUACGUUAUUUUUUUCUCUAUAUUAAAGCAAUUAAUGCCGCAGCUAUUUGUAUUUUCUAAUUCUAAAGGAAUACAUUCGUAAAAUGUUACUACGCGAGGGUGUUUCGGUGGCGGCACCUAACGGCGGGUUCCUGAAGUCAGUUCAAGCCGCCAUAAUGGAUGGAAGGCCCGACACUCACUCCCUCAAAAUAUCCGUCUACUUUACCUUUCGGUAAGUGUUAACUGAGUAUUUAACCUCUUUAUUGGUGUGCAUGUAGAUUAACAAAAGGACCGAUUACUAUCCCAAUACCGGGUCCAACAAAGACCCGGGCGUGUCACGUGUCUCAUAUGGUGUGAGAAGCACGUGUCAGAAAACAAAUGGAUAUUGUUCAAUGCGCGAUUACACGCCCGACACUCGUCAACAGAUCCGCUGCGGCGGCUGCUACGUUAUAUAGGAAUAGAUUACAAGAGUAUACGUAAGGGAAUUUCCUUUCUUUAGAGACUAGGGACUUUUCCCGAUUUUGGGGAUUUUUUUAGGGACAUUUUGAAAGCCCAUUUUUCAGUGAUUUGGCCGUCCACCACCAAAACCACUGUUCCCUACAGGGAUUAAUCGAGCUAACGACCACCAAAACCACAGUUCCUUAAAGAGAUUAAUCGAGCUAACGCCGCCGCCAUGGCGCCGGUGCCGCCGCCGCCGCAAAAUAACUCGCAUUCAUUACCUACCUUAUGAAACAUCUCUAGGUCUUAUUAUAUUUUUUCUACAAACGUUUGGUUAGCGACGGUACGCUUGGUUAGCGAUGAUACGCUUGGUUAGCGAUGGUAUGCUUGGUUAGCGAUGGUACGCUUGGUUAGCGAUGGUACGCUUGAUUAGCGAUGGUACGCUUGGUUAGCAACGAUACGCUUGGUUAGCGAUGGUACGCUUGGUUAGCAAUGGUAUGCUUGGUUAGCGAUGGUACGCUUGGUUAGCGAUGGUACGCUUGGUUAGCGAUGGUAUGCUUGGUUAGCGAUUAGCCCACGCAUGUGAGACCAGGUCCACCACGUGUGGUUAUUUUUAUUUUUUAGAACACGCAGCCCAACGGUUGCCGUGCUGAGGGCCGGGUAUAUAGCCCGGGUCUGUUCAGCCCGAGUCCCGGAUGACCUUGAGUCAUGGCUCAGGGCUGUUUUGGGCGAUUAGCCCACUCAUUUGAGUAUACGGUAGGGAUUUUCCUUACUUUCGAGAAUAGGGAAUUUUUCCUAAUUUAGGGAUUUUUCUAGGGAUAUUUUGAAAGCCCAUUUUUCAGUGAUUUUGGCUUCCCCCUCCCCCAAACCCCGGUACCCCACAGUUACCCAGGCUUGUCUUGGGGGGUAGGGGGGGCUGGGGUGGUGGAGGGGGAGACGUAGUUGUUUCCUAGUUUUACCGGAGUAAGUUUAAUUGGUCGCCAGAUGAAACGGUCUUCUUACAUCAAAUUCAUGAAAAAAGACGUAUAAUCAGAGGGUGUUUUGGAAAAAGAGUAUCACCCCUGAGGAUAAGACGAGAGCAUGGACUGAAGUGGCAGAAGCUGUAACAAGUGCCUUCCCUGGGAGUGGACCCCAUACGCAGGAUGACUGUGAGAGGCGUUGGUACAACGUACAACAAAAAUCAAAGCCUCGCAUUGCCAAGUGCAAGAAUGAGCAGCGGCAGACUGCCCCGCUGCUGUAUUGCUAGAGACCAUCCCAGCACAUUGUUCAUUACUUGUGGAAAAUAUACCAUCAGCUACUUUGGCAACAGCCACUGCUUCAACAUCUGCUGGCCCUAUGACACCAGCCACUGCUUCAUCAUCUGCUGGCCCAAUGACACCUGCCACUGCAAGGGAUGACAAUGAAGCUGCUCUACCACAGUCACCACCUACUUCAUCGGAGUUAAGAGAUGCCUUUCAUAGGGCAGCAGUAUAAUUUUUUGAUGCUGGGGCUGAAUAUUACUGCCUCAAGGCUAUGGUUUUGUCACUUUUUUUUAUUACUGAGGAGUUUAGGGUGGAAGGGGUGAAAAAAAAAUUCUGCUGUUUUUCAACAGAAAUGGUUAGCAAAUUCAUUCAAAGCCCAAAAUUUACCAGAAAAAAAAUUGUGUGCCUUUGUGAGUGGGUUCACUUGAGAUUGGGCUCCAAUACACCUCCGUGGUCUAGUGGUCAGCAUGCCUGGCUUCUACGCGGGCCCGGGUUCGAAUCCCGGCCCGGGCAGUCGGCAUGCAGCUCACCCAGCUGAUCAUCCUCCCUCUCGGGCUGGUCGAUAAAUGGCUACCUGGGGAAACCUGGGGAAACUGUGGUAACCCGGAUGUCACACUGGCCCUGUGUCCCGAGCUAAUGGGCUCUCUCCUACCACAGGCUCAAGGGCCAGUGUUACGGAGACUAGCACCGAGGCCACGCACUGCUACAGCGUAUGCCCCAACUUUACCUUUACCUUUAUUGGCUCGACUGACAGAGACAUUGCUUUGUAUGUCGAAGGUCACUGGUUCAAUACCCACAGCCAGGACUCUCUAACUUGGAUUUUUCUGAGUUCCCUAGAGCCUAGAUUAAUUUCUCGGUGUUAAAUGAGGAGAUUUGCACCGACACCCAGUUGUGGGUGUUACAAGAUAUGUUGUUACAAUCAGGGGCGUCAUUUGGACUUUAAAAGUGGGAGGGACA